CCUUGAUGAUGAUGAGGACGAUGAUGAUGAUGAUGAUGACGAAUGAUGGUGAUACACGAUCGUCAUCAUCGUUGGCGUCAUCGUCUUCUGGCAAA
rnacentral:miRNA from 1 species